GAUGAACGCUAGCGAUAGGCUUAACACAUGCAAGUCGAGGGGCAGCAUGAUCUUAGCUUGCUAAGGUCGAUGGCGACCGGCGCACGGGUGCGUAACGCGUAUGCAACUUGCCUUACAGAGGGGGAUAACCCGUUGAAAGACGGACUAAAACCGCAUACACUUGUAUUAUUGCAUGAUAUUACAAGGAAAUAUUUAUAGCUGUAAGAUAGGCAUGCGUCCCAUUAGCUGGUUGGUGAGGUAACGGCUCACCAAGGCGACGAUGGGUAGGGGAACUGAGAGGUUUAUCCCCCACACUGGUACUGAGACACGGACCAGACUCCUACGGGAGGCAGCAGUGAGGAAUAUUGGUCAAUGGGCGAGAGCCUGAACCAGCCAAGUCGCGUGAAGGAAGACAGUCCUAAGGAUUGUAAACUUCUUUUAUACGGGAAUAAACGGGCGAUACGAGUAA
rnacentral:rRNA from 1 species